UACAGAGGCCCCAAGCGUUACUGAGAAUCACUGGGUUUAAAGGGUGCGUAGGUGGUCCGUUAAGUUCGUUGUGAAAGCCCUGGGCUCAACCCAGGAACUGCUUCGAAUACUGGCGGACUUGAGGCGAGUACGGGUCACUGGAACUGACGGUGGAGCGGUGAAAUGCGUAGAGAUCGGCAGGAACACCCAGGGGGAAACCAGUCGACUGGGCAGCACCUGACGCUGAGGUGCGAGAGCGUGGGGAGCGAACCGG
rnacentral:rRNA from 1 species